UGUUAGGAUGGUAUAGUGAACAAGGUCAAG
rnacentral:piRNA from 1 species